rnacentral:rRNA from 1 species
AUAGCGGCAGACUGGUGCGUAACGCGUGAGUAAUCUAUCUCUAAAUCGGGAAUAGCCUUACGAAAGCAAGGGUAAUACCCGAUGUGGCUAUAGCGGCAAAAGCCGUUAUAGGUAAAGGUGGCUCGUAAGAGCUGUUGUUUAGAGCUGAGCUCGCGUCCUAUCAGCUUGUUGGUAGGGUAACGGCCUACCAAGGCAAUUGACGGGUAGCUGGCCUGAGAGGGUGGUCAGCCACACGGGGACUGAGACACUGCCCCGACUCCUACGGGAGGCUGCAGUCGAGGAUAUUUAGCAAUGGGCGAAAGCCUGACUAUGCGACGCCGCGUGAGGGAUGAAGGUUUUCGGAUCGUAAACCUCUUUCGAUGGGGAAGAAAUGUCCGGCACUAAUACUGACGGAAGCUGACGGCACCCAGAGAAGAAGCCACGGCUAACUCCGUGCCAGCAGCCGCGGUAAUACGGAGGUGGCGAGCGUUACUCGGAUUCAUUGGGUGUAAAGAGCAGGUAGGUGGCUAUGCAAGUUGGGGGUGAGAUCCUUUGGCUCAACCAAAGAACUGCCUUCAAAACUGCAUAGGUUGAGACUAGGAGGGGAGAGCGGAAUUCCCGGUGUAAGGGUGAAAUCUGUAGAUAUCGGGAGGAACACCAGUGGCGAAGGCGGCUCUCUGGCCUAGAACUGACGCUAAGCUGC